ACAUUAAAGUGAUAAUCCAUCUAACUAUAAUCCAGUAAUAUAGUAUAUACUAUUAUGGAAAUAUGGAAAUAGAGGGGGAGUUGAUGGCAAAGGUCUGACGAUUGGAGGAUUAAAUCAACUGAAACGAUAUUAGGAAGACAAAUAAAUCUGAUUGACAAGAGCUGUGACACUGUUUCAUAAACUUUUGAAGUAAAAGGCGUGCACUGGCCAUCCGCCUCAAGGUGAUAAUGAAUAAUGAGUACGUUUGGUACUGUAGGUAUAUUUUGAUGCUAAUACUUAUGUACUUUUACUUAAAUAAGAUUUUGAAUGCAGGACUUUUACUUGUAACAGAGUAUUUUUUCACUAAUAUUACGACUUUUAAUUAAAUUAAAUUAAAUAUCGGAGUACUUCUUCCACCACUGUUAAUAACUUCGGGAUAUCAGUUAUUCCGGAUCAGCAGUGUUAGGCUCAGUGUAGACAGGUAACACAAACAGAGCCAGGCUCGUGCUCCAGGCCUCUGGUAUUCAUGUCACACACAUUAUAAGUAACGCCUCUGUGUGUUUAGUGCUUUUUCAUGCUUAAAAGUAUAUGUUCACCUUCUAAUUAGUGGGUUCAGCUACUUGGGCCACACCUGUUGCUAACAGGUGCAUCCAAUCAAGCAAACCGUCAUGCCAUCUUCACUUCAUCAUUCAAACAUUUGCAGUAGCGUGGGAUGUGCUAAAGAGAUAAGUGACUUUCAUUGUGGCACUGACAUAUUUAUGCCCUGCUAGGUCUGCCCCGGUAAACUGUAGCAGGUCAGCUGCAGAGCGGCAGGCCACACCAGGGCUGCAGUACUCUGCCUGCAGUCUGCAGUCUGCUCUGAUAAUGCAGCAUGUAGACAUUUUCUAGUGGGCGUUUUGACGGGGACUUGGCAGCAUGGAGAGGAUGUUGAAUUAGCUUUUAGACUGAAAAAUACAACAUUAAAGCUCCAAGUUUAAAAGUCUAGUUUGCUAGCAGUUGUUUCUUUUUAGAGGCAUUUCCUUGAAGAAACUGUUCUAUUUAAAUAAAACUUAAAUGGAGGCAGCGGGAGGCGGGACACAGAAUUCCUUAAUAUCACGUGUGCUGUUGUGCACUGUUAUUUAGCUUUUGGACUACAUUCAUAUAGAGCUUUGAUCUGCCUCUCAUUCACCCGCACAAACUCGGAUACACAUGGCAGCGAGCUACUGGGAGAAGUUUGGGCUUCAGUGUCUUGCUCAAGGACACGUCAACAUGUGGACAUGAAGAGCCGCCGAUCGACCCUGCAGUCAGUGGACAGCCGUGUGCAGCCCUUUACUUUGAACCUCGCUGCCCACCGUCAGGCUGAACCCUAAAAAGCUGCUGCAUGAGUCAGGGAUCCCAGACUCAGAAGAGGCAGAACAAACUGCGUUUUAUGGACCGAUUCACAUCUGAGCGCUGAAACAACCGAGUCCAGGGCAAAGACAACAUGAAUGAACUCUCCAGCUCGCUUCUAAUCUCCGUGAGUCGCACAGAUCAAGGAGUCCAUGAUUCUCCACCUUCACCGGGCCUUUUUACCUCUGAAGUUGGCUACCCGGAGUCUGAUAAACCCUGCAGAGAUCUGGACUCGCUGGUUUCAGAAGCGUGUCUGGGGUUUGGGUCUACGGCCUGGCCGCCAUCUUUGCCCGUUACUGGGGCCCGAAAAUCCUGAUUCAGGCAAAGCAGAAGAAUUUGAGGAAACACGAGCUGGAGACAAGUGAAGUGUGACUGCCCCCUGCUGGCUGGAGGAUAUAUAUUCAACUUUAUAAGGACGGAUGACGUGUCCUUGAGCCAGGCAUUAACCACACAGUUCACCUCGCAGUGAGACGUACUGUAUAUGGGACAUAUUUCCAGGGACACAGUGAGGGGUUGUCUGUACCACUUAACAUCAAGCGAGACUUCCUGGAUCCUGCUUCUUAUACCAGCUUCCUGUCUGUGCUCAGUGGGCGGAGUCAGACGGUCUCUGCAGGCGUCGCUCUGCCGCCGCCGCUAAUGUUUCCCGCCGCAGGGUCACGGGGUCGAAGGUCAAAGCGUCGCUGUCGGAGGACUCGUGGCUUCCCGUGUGGGACCUGGUGCUCCGGGUCAGAAGAUAGUCCCUGCAGAGGAGCGCAAAGCUCAGAGUACCUGCGCGCUCGCUGCAGCAGCUCCUCCUUCCUCUGCAGCAGCAGUUUCUGUCGCUGCUCCGCUGACGUAGAAAACUGAACCUCCACCUUCUCCGCUGCCUCUUCAUCUUCCUCCUCGUCCUCCGUCUCGUCCUCCUCUUCCUGCUCUGACUCGCUGCUGGCUCCGCCCUCGUCCUCAGGUGGAGGAGUUAUCUGUAUGACCGGCUGCUCAAAGACCUGACGAGAGAGGAAACAGUGUUUUUUAAAAUGUUUCUUUGCUGAAGUGCAGCUGGUUUACAUACGACUGACAAUAAAACAUUCUGGCAUCAAGUUGAAGUUUUGUUUUUUUUAAGGCAAGUACUAGGGCCGCACGAUUAAGAGAUAUCGAAAUCGCAGAAGCUGCAAUUUUUUGAAGGUAAAAUGUGUGAGAAACCAGCACUAAGUACCGAAGAGAUGCCUACAAAUCUUUUUCUCCAGGUGUAAGAAAACAUGUU